rnacentral:lncRNA from 1 species
ACUUGUGCCCAGAGUUUGAUUUUCCACAGACCAGGUAGAGGCCAAGAGCCUCUCACAGACUCUGCAGCAGGGUUGCUAUGAUUAACUCUUAAGUACUCCACAACUACACGCUUUUGAAACUGGCGUUGGCAUAGCGUUAGUUCUGUGCAGGGCGGACGCAGCAGGACAGAAUCUCCCUGGGCAUCUUUUCGGAGCAUCAAUUUUACUGCAAAAUUUUGAAAAAACAAAUUUAAUUGAUUUCCAAGGUUUGUCAAGGAGGACAGAAACUCAGAGCACCCUGCACUUGGGGAUCGGCACUAGGAGCUGCUCUCUGGAUGGGGAGAUGGGAGCUAGCAGCUCACAAUGGGGUCACAAGACAGGAGUGUUAUUGGGAGAAUCCUGUUUUGUUGACAAAUACUGAGAUCAUCCAACUCACCAGGCAAAGUUGACUUGUGUAAGUGAUCUUCAGAUAUGAAAAGUGUGGAACCCAGCUGCUCCUCCUCAGAUAGGCGACAUGACAAUUGUAGGCCUGGAGGGAGAUGAGUUGACAACAUCCCUUCCCUAUAACCACUUGUUGGAUCUGAUCUCACAUACACAGACUCACUCCAAAGACUGACCUGGGUGUCUGCUUCUCAGCUUCAUUAACAGUGGGUGCUCACAAGUCUAGUGGAGAGAAUGUCUGAGAAGAGGAGGACCUUGACUGCUCCUGAACCGGAGACCUCAGUAGUAACAGGAUCUUCUACACUGUAGCUGCUUCCAGUGUGAGCCAGACAAAUGUACUGAAUAUAGGUAAGUACUGCUCAGUUUUCUCCAUGAGCUUCAUCCUCAGGGCCACGUUUCUUAUUCUGACAACACUUAGGGAUGCUUUCCUGGUAGGAAUACUGCUGUUCUUAAUUGCAUACAUGGUGACUCUCUUAUUCAGGCCUCAGAGGUGAUCCCACCACCUUCACAGCAAUGGUCCUUCCCCAGGAGCUUCCCCUGAGAAACGGGCCAUCCAGACCAUACUGCUGCUGAAUAAUGUCUCAUUGGAAAUCUCAACAUUCUUCAUUUAGAACACCACCGCCAAUAUCUACCAUAUGCCGGGAUUAUUGUGCAGGGUAAUUUUUAUUAUUACUUGAAUGUAUAUUUAUAUACUGCAGGAACUAUACAUGUUUAUGGCUAGAAUUACUGUUUUUCCUUAAUAUUAAGAUAGUAUUGGUAGAUUUAAUUAUCUGAAUUUAGUCAUUUGGCUCCAGUCAAAAUGGUUUCUCCUUAGCAGUACUCUGACUUUGUAAAAGUAAUCACAUUUGGAUUCUGUUUCCUCCAGUAGUUUUUAAAAUGAUUUUUUUGAUUAUUCAUAUAACUUUUUUUUAAUGAUCUUUUAAAAACUAGUAUGUGGUUAUAUAUUACUUGUUACACUUUUUGUUUUCUUUAUUUUUUGGUUGGUUACACCUUAAAUGAUUAUUUCUAUUGCCUUUUAAUGUUACUUAGAAAAUAUCACAUGUAAGACUUUUGCUUUUAUAAAGUUAGUAAUACAUUUUCAAGCCUAAACUCUUGAAAUUUUAAUAAUUUCUAUGAUAUUUGAAAAUUAUUUUUAUCUUCUUUUGAGUGCUAAAAGAUAAUAUUUGUCUACCUGAUUAACUAGCACAACUUUUAAAAAGUUAUUUAGCACUCUUUAUAUUCAUUCAUUUGUUUU